rnacentral:rRNA from 1 species
AGAGUUUGAUCAUGGCUCAGAUUGAACGCUGGCGGCAGGCCUAACACAUGCAAGUCGAGCGGAUGAGUGGAGCUUGCUCCAUGAUUCAGCGGCGGACGGGUGAGUAAUGCCUAGGAAUCUGCCUAUUAGUGGGGGACAACGUUUCGAAAGGAACGCUAAUACCGCAUACGUCCUACGGGAGAAAGCAGGGGACCUUCGGGCCUUGCGCUAAUAGAUGAGCCUAGGUCGGAUUAGCUAGUUGGUGAGGUAAUGGCUCACCAAGGCUACGAUCCGUAACUGGUCUGAGAGGAUGAUCAGUCACACUGGAACUGAGACACGGUCCAGACUCCUACGGGAGGCAGCAGUGGGGAAUAUUGGACAAUGGGCGAAAGCCUGAUCCAGCCAUGCCGCGUGUGUGAAGAAGGUCUUCGGAUUGUAAAGCACUUUAAGUUGGGAGGAAGGGCAGUAAGUUAAUACCUUGCUGUUUUGACGUUACCGACAGAAUAAGCACCGGCUAACUCUGUGCCAGCCGCCGCGGUAAUAC